AUUGAACGCUGGCGGCAGGCCUAACACAUGCAAGUCGAGCGGAUGAAGGGAGCUUGCUCCUGGAUUCAGCGGCGGACGGGUGUGUAAUGCCUAGGAAUCUGCCUGGUAGUGGGGGAUAACGUCCUGAAACGGGCGCUAAUACCGCAUACGUCCUGAGGUAGAAAGUGGGGGAUCUUCGGACCUCACGCUAUCAGAUGAGCCUAGGUCGGAUUAGCUAGUUGGUGGGGUAAAGGCAUACCAAGGCGACGAUCCGUAACUGGUCUGAGAGGAUGAUCAGUCACACUGGAACUGAGACACGGUCCAGACUCCUACGGGAGGCAGCAGUGGGGAAUAUUGGACAAUGGGCGAAAGCCUGAUCCAGCCAGGCCGCGUGUGUGAAGAAGGUCUUCGGAUUGUAAAGCACUUUAAGUUGGGAGGAAGGGCAGUAAGUUAAUACCUUGCUGUUUUGACGUUAACAACAGAAUAAGCACCGGCUAACUUCGUG
rnacentral:rRNA from 1 species